UACGAAGGGGGCUAGCGUUGCUCGGAAUCACUGGGCGUAAAGCGCACGUAGGCGGAUCUUUAAGUCAGGGGUGAAAUCCCAAGGCUCAACCUUGGAACUGCCUUUGAUACUGGGGAUCUCGAGUCCGGAAGAGGUGAGUGGAACUGCGAGUGUAGAGGUGAAAUUCGUAGAUAUUCGCAAGAACACCAGUGGCGAAGGCGACUCACUGGACACGUAUUGACGCUGAGGUGCGAAAGCGUGGGGAGCAAACAGGG
rnacentral:rRNA from 1 species